rfam:Myotis davidii contig122185, whole genome shotgun sequence.
GCUGGUGUGGCUCAGAGGGUAGAGCGCCAGGCUGCAGACCGCUGGGUCCCGGGUUUGAUUCCCGUGCCUCGGUG